rnacentral:rRNA from 1 species
UUCGUAUGGUGCAAGCGUUAUCCGGAUUUACUGGGCGUAAAGGGAGCGCAGGCGGUGCGCCAAGUCUGAUGUGAAACCCCGGGGCUCAACCCCGGGCAUGCAUUGGAAACUGGCGGGCUGGAGUGCCGGAGAGGUAAGCGGAAUUCCUAGCGUAGCGGUGAAAUGCGUAGAUAUUAGGAGGAACACCAGUGGCGAAGGCGGCUUACUGGACGGCAACUGACGCUGAGGCUCGAGAGCGUGGGGAGCAAACAGG